rnacentral:rRNA from 1 species
UACAGAGGGUGCGAGCGUUAAUCGGAAUUACUGGGCGUAAAGGGCUCGUAGGCGGCCAACUAAGUCAGACGUGAAAUCCCUCGGCUUAACCGGGGAACUGCGUCUGAUACUGGAUGGCUGGAGUUUGGGAGAGGGAUGCGGAAUUCCAGGUGUAGCGGUGAAAUGCGUAGAUAUCUGGAGGAACACCGGUGGCGAAGGCGGCAUCCUGGACCAAUACUGACGCUGAGGAGCGAAAGCCAGGGGAGCAAACGGG